CGCGGUAAUACGGAGGGUGCGAGCGUUAAUCGGAAUUACUGGGCGUAAAGCGCGCGUAGGUGGUUUGUUAAGUGGGAUGUGAAAGCCCUGGGCUCAACCUGGGAACUGCAUUCCAAACUGACGAACUAGAGUACGAUAGAGGGAGGUAGAAUUCAGAGUGUAGCGGUGAAAUGCGUAGAUAUUCUGAGGAAUACCGGUGGCGAAGGCGGCCUCCUGGAUUGAUACUGACACUGAGGUGCGAAAGCGUGGGGAGCGAACAGGAUUAGAUACCCUGGUAGUCCACGCCGUAAACGAUGAGUGCUAAGUGU
rnacentral:rRNA from 1 species